UCCAAAACAUCACUAAGACAGCAGUACAGGAAGAUCCAAAACAUCACUAAGACAACAGUACAGGAAGAUCCAAAACAUCACUAAGACAGCAGUACAGGGAGAUCCAAAACAUCACUAAGACAACAGUACAGGGAGAUCCAAAACAUCACUAAGACAACAGUACAUGGAGUUCCAAAACAUCACUAAGACAACAGUACAGGGAGAUCCAAAACAUCACUAAGACAACAGUACAGGAAGAUCCAAAACAUCACUAAGACAACAGUACAGGGAGUUCCAAAACAUCACUAAGACAACAGUACAGGGAGUUCCAAAACAUCACUAAGACAGCAGUACAGGAAGUUAC